rnacentral:rRNA from 1 species
UACGGAGGGGGCUAGCGUUGUUCGGAAUUACUGGGCGUAAAGCGCACGUAGGCGGCUUUGUAAGUUAGAGGUGAAAGCCCGGGGCUCAACUCCGGAAUUGCCUUUAAGACUGCAUCGCUCGAAUUGUGGAGAGGUAAGUGGAAUUCCGAGUGUAGAGGUGAAAUUCGUAGAUAUUCGGAAGAACACCAGUGGCGAAGGCGACUUACUGGACACAUAUUAACGCUGAGGUGCGAAAGCGUGGGGAGCAAACAGGAUAGAAACCCCAGU